ACACUAAAAAAAUAUGAAAGUUACACUUCACAUAAUUCGGAAACUGACAGAAAAAUAGAUCAUGUAAUCACAAAUUUAACAUAAUAUUACAUCUCGUGAAACCUAAUUAUCAUCAGAACCAUAAAAAAAUAGAUUUGCAAUAAAAUGUGAGAAGCGUUUGAAAAUCACCACAAAUUUGAUGUAAUUUUAUAUCUCAGACGAUGCACAUAACUGGAGCAUCACAUUGAACAGAAUAUUCAAUCAUCUUACUCAAUUUUACAUUCAACGGAUGGCAAAUUUACCCACUUUCAACUGAGAAAAUGGUUCCUCGCAGCGCAGCGUGCAUAAACGUCAACGUCAGCCAUUUUGUGUUGCAAAACAGAGCGAACGCUUCUCAAGCAGAACAUUUAUUUUUAUUUACGGGUUUUAAAACCAUUUUCUAGUGUAUUUCUCGUAAAAAUUUGAUAGAGGUCACCGUGAAAAUCUACCGGCAACCCUGAGCGCAUUAGAAUCGAAAAAUUUAGGUCGCUGUGACCUGAUUGAACUUUUUAUUUUCGAAAUCGAACUUCUCGCCGAAUCGAAUCAAAAUCGUCUCCGGAGGGCCGUUUUCAACAAGCAGUUUUUGGUUUUAUCUUAAGGAUCCAAAUGAUAAACACUGUCAAAUGCCCAUCAGCAUUGAGUGCCAGCAGGAUCCGGAAGGGCAGUUUUCAAAAUAUUGGGACGCACCAAACCACUUCAAGAAAUCGCAUAAAUUCUGGUGGAACAACAUGAGACAAACGUUUAGUGAAUCUGCGGUUGUAACUGCAGUCACCCCGCCCGCACGGGAGAAGUUCAUGUGAAAAAUUUGAAGAGGAUUAUCACGAUCAGCGGCUUGGACCAACCAAGAGGAAGAAGCCAGCACCAGAGUCCUGCAUGUAGUUGUUAUCUGAAAAAGUUGCUUCCGGUGCCCUGUUCGGUGCCCUGAGGCAAGAUGAACAUCAACUUUUGGUGUUUCCCGGUGGAAUGAUCCGAAAGUGAUUGUAAAAUGUCAGAUGAUGUCAGUCUGAGGUUCGUUCAUGGUGCCGUGAUGAAACCUGACGAUGUGAAAUAAGUGACAAAUGAAGAUCAAUGUUUUGUAUUCAUGCAAACGUGGAAAUAAAUAAUGAUUUUUAAUGUA